GAUGAACGCUGGCGGCGUGCCUAAUACAUGCAAGUCGAGCGAACGGACGAGAAGCUUGCUUCUCUGAUGUUAGCGGCGGACGGGUGAGUAACACGUGGAUAACCUACCUAUAAGACUGGGAUAACUUCGGGAAACCGGAGCUAAUACCGGAUGAUAUUUUGAACCGCAUGGUUCAAAAGUGAAAGACGGUCUUGCUGUCACUUAUAGAUGGAUCCGCGCUGCAUUAGCUAGUUGGUAAGGUAACGGCUUACCAAGGCAACGAUGCAUAGCCGACCUGAGAGGGUGAUCGGCCACACUGGAACUGAGACACGGUCCAGACUCCUACGGGAGGCAGCAGUAGGGAAUCUUCCGCAAUGGGCGAAAGCCUGACGGAGCAACGCCGCGUGAGUGAUGAAGGUCUUCGGAUCGUAAAACUCUGUUAUUAGGGAAGAACAUAUGUGUAAGUAACUGUGCACAUCUUGACGGUACCUAAUCAGAAAGCCACGGCUAACUACGUGCCAGCAGCCGCGGUAAUACGUAGGUGGCAAGCGUUAUCCGGAAUUAUUGGGCGUAAAGCGCGCGUAGGCGGUUUUUUAAGUCUGAUGUGAAAGCCCACGGCUCAACCGUGGAGGGUCAUUGGAAACUGGAAAACUUGAGUGCAGAAGAGGAAAGUGGAAUUCCAUGUGUAGCGGUGAAAUGCGCAGAGAUAUGGAGGAACACCAGUGGCGAAGGCGACUUUCUGGUCUGUAACUGACGCUGAUGUGCGAAAGCGUGGGGAUCAAACAGGAUUAGAUACCCUGGUAGUCCACGCCGUAAACGAUGAGUGCUAAGUGUUAGGGGGUUUCCGCCCCUUAGUGCUGCAGCUAACGCAUUAAGCACUCCGCCUGGGGAGUACGACCGCAAGGUUGAAACUCAAAGGAAUUGACGGGGACCCGCACAAGCGGUGGAGCAUGUGGUUUAAUUCGAAGCAACGCGAAGAACCUUACCAAAUCUUGACAUCCUUUGACAACUCUAGAGAUAGAGCCUUCCCCUUCGGGGGACAAAGUGACAGGUGGUGCAUGGUUGUCGUCAGCUCGUGUCGUGAGAUGUUGGGUUAAGUCCCGCAACGAGCGCAACCCUUAAGCUUAGUUGCCAUCAUUAAGUUGGGCACUCUAAGUUGACUGCCGGUGACAAACCGGAGGAAGGUGGGGAUGACGUCAAAUCAUCAUGCCCCUUAUGAUUUGGGCUACACACGUGCUACAAUGGACAAUACAAGGGGCAGCGAAACCGCGAGGUCAAGCAAAUCCCAUAAAGUUGUUCUCAGUUCGGAUUGUAGUCUGCAACUCGACUACAUGAAGCUGGAAUCGCUAGUAAUCGUAGAUCAGCAUGCUACGGUGAAUACGUUCCCGGG
rnacentral:rRNA from 1 species